AGAGUUUGAUCCUGGCUCAGGGCGAACGCUGGCGGCAGGCCUAACACAUGCAAGUCGUACGGACCCUUCGGGGUUAGUGGCGGACGGGUGAGUAACACGUGGGAACGUGCCUUUAGGUUCGGAAUAGCUCCUGGAAACGGGUGGUAAUGCCGAAUGUGCCCUUCGGGGGAAAGAUUUAUCGCCUUUAGAGCGGCCCGCGUCUGAUUAGCUAGUUGCUGAGGUAAUGACUCACCAAGGCGACGAUCAGUAGCUGGUCUGAGAGGAUGACCAGCCACAUUGGGACUGAGACACGGCCCAAACUCCUACGGGAGGCAGCAGUGGGGAAUCUUGCGCAAUGGGCGAAAGCCUGACGCAGCCAUGCCGCGUGAAUGAUGAAGGUCUUAGGAUUGUAAAAUUCUUUCACCGGGGACGAUAAUGACGGUACCCGGAGAAGAAGCCCCGGCUAACUUCGUGCCAGCAGCCGCGGUAAU
rnacentral:rRNA from 1 species